GGCAAGCAGAUUAAUUUUACCCAAACAGAGAUUCUUUCUAUAUUUUGAAUGUAUAGAGAAAAUCUUACCUCAAGCAUCUAAAUUUUAAGUUCUAAUUAAAUGGAGUCUGUUUCGUAAACGUUUUCCACCAUUUUGGGACACAAACAUGCAUUAAACACUUACAAAACUUGCCAAAAUUCAAAUAUAGCCAAUAUUCUAUACAAAGCACCUUUUUCUCCAUUAGUUUUUUUUAACAGGC
rnacentral:misc_RNA from 1 species